rnacentral:pre_miRNA from 1 species
UUAACUCAAAUAUGUACGCAGUUGGGACGUUUGCCGCUAGGGGCGCCGUUUCAACUGCAUACAAAUUUGAGUUA